UCGCAAAUAUAUUUAAUUGCCGUAAAACAAUCACAUAUGCGCAAACAGAAAAGGGCUUGUUGCCAUCCAAAGCUGAAGAAGAGAGAAGCUAAACACAAACAUGCCACCAAAAGCCAAAAGUGGUAAGAAGGGUAAACUUUCCAAAGCUGAGAAAGAAAAACAGAAAAAAGAGGAAGCGGAGAGAAAAGCAAAAGAAGAAGAAGAAGCACGACUGAAGGCUGAGGAAGAAGAGAAAGAACGUCAGGAAAGGGAGAAACAAGAAAGAGAAGAGCGGGAUAAAAUUGAUGCUGAGGAGAAGAAACAACAUGCUGCCGAAGUAGGACAAUUAAACUCAAUCUUGGAAGGCAAUUUGACAGCUUUGCAGAAUCAACAUGCAGAAAGGCGAGCUAAAGCAAAGUGGGAGCGGUACAUGCUGUGUGAUGGUAGCCCAGAUCCAACUAAUCCAGGCGAGAUUAACACCUAUAUGAACCUGUGGCGAGAAGAUGACACAAAAAAUACCAUUGACUAUGUACUGAAGGAGAGCAAAUCGACCUUUCGGCUGAUAGAAGAGUUGUGGUACCUUCUUGAAGACACCCCAGAAGAAGAGCUUAGUGAUAAAGAGAUAUCACACUAUAAAGACACCAUUGUCGAGUUAGAAAAUCUACUUUCAUUGAAACUAGACACUGCAACUAUGGAAUUAUUAAAGGAUGCAUCCACUGAGGCAGAUCCAGAAACAAGCAACUUGCAGAUUGUAAAAGAAAGCGAUCAAAUUAUUAUGAUGCUGUGGGGAAAUCUCAAUAAAAACCCAAGAUUCAAAACUUUUGAAUUUGAGGAACAGAAAUUUGCAUUUGAGCUUCCCAAACAACUAGCAACAGCUGAUAUAGCAAUACGUAUUAUCCACACAAAAUAUGACCAUCUGUCUCAUCUAUGUCGGACGUACUUUCCAAAGAAGAAAAAAAAGCCUUUACCGAAGCCACCGCCAUCACCAGAACCUGAAAAAGAAGAAAAUCCAGAUGAAGAGAAGAAAGAAGGUGAUGAGGAAGAUGGAGAAAAUGAAGAGGAUGGCAUUGCUGGCGAUGAGCAGAAACAAGAUUCUGAGGAUGCAGCUGGAGAUGAAGAAAAACAAGGUGAAAAAGAUGAAGAUGGUGAGAAAAAAGAUGACGAGGCAAAAACUGGUGAAGAUGCAAAGAUAGAACCCGAGCCAGUUGCUCCUGAAGAAGAGGAGGAAGAGGAAGAAAUUGAGGAAGAUGAGGAUGUAGUAGAUAUGAGGCAAUAUCAAGCAUUGGGUGGAGUCAUUCAUUAUGAUUUAUUACAGUUGCCGCCACAACCGAAGACUGUCAAAACCUGGUUAAUGACACAAGUUGUAUCAAAUGAAUUAAAGAGGAUACCAUAUCCUGGCGGUGAUGCAAAAUUGGGUCAGACUUUAUCAGGAACCUUGACAAUGGGACAGACCUUGGACCCAAAAGCUGUUGCUACUGCUGCGGCUGUUGCAGAAACUUUAGGUGCUCCGCCUGUAGGACUUAGUUUCACCCUUCCAGCAAAUGUACUAUUCUGUGAAGAGCCACAGAUGGCAUACUGGUCACAUGAGGGCAAGCACUGGAGAUUGGAUGGUUUUGCGGACAUCAAAUAUGAUGAAGAUAAACGUACAUUGUCCUUCAAAACAAUUAACUUUGGACCACUGGUUUGCAUCCAGGACAAGCACAUUAACAUGCCAUUCCAAAGCUGGGAGUUAAGACCACGCAAGAUGAACAACGCCCUCCUUACCAUAAUUGCAGCAAUAGUGGAAAUAGAAAUUGAGAUUAAAGAUGACUUGUGCUGUUUCAGACAACCAGCAGAUGCAGAAGUGAAAACUGAAUUGGAAGAGUACAAGGAGAAAUGGGUAACUCCUAGAGAACUUAUAAAAGUAAAUGCUGCGUACAGCUGGAGUUGACCUCUUUCCAGAUAACGAUUCCAAGAAGUAUGUCAGCAUAAGUGAAAAGAAUGAGAUUGCAGAGAUGGAUGCUUACCAACAGAUGGCGCUCACUGCCUCACAUUUUGCAUAUUCAUGGAGCAAAUGGAAUGCUGAAGCAGGUGAUGAGAAACUAGUGAUCCAAGGGUGCGAAAUGUUAGAAGAUGAACAUGUUGUGGAAGAUGAAUGGUCGCUGAUUAUGAUGACUGCCCAGAGAGCUAUGAAGCUAAGAAUGACUGAAUUUGAUGAAAGUUUCUCUGAAGACUUUGCUGAAGGCACGCAGG
rnacentral:misc_RNA from 1 species